AGGUUGCGCAGCGUCUUCGCGCGUGGCGGGCAUGUAGUGACUUGCCCGGUCACCGCGGCGCGGCUGGCCCUGCAGGGGCGUGGGCUGCAAUUCAGAGGCGGUGGCUGGGAGGGGAACAGUUCUCUGUGUAGCUUAUGAGCGGUCUUGGUCUUUGAGGAUGCCCCUGAGGUUGUGAUCUUUGGGUCUUUUGGCUUUCCCAGUGAUUGGUGUUUCUCGCCCCCUCUGCCUUCUUUCGGAAGCGAUUUCCUACUUGUUUUCCUUUUUUAAAAACUGUCCUCGUUGUUGCCUUAUAUAUUAAUUCCGUCAAGGACGGUCGCUCAGCAAGAAUUCCUGUCAGAUCAGCUGUUGAGCCACAGGAGCAAAAAUCACCCAGGCGCUGACGUUGUCUGGUCUACUUCAGCAGUUUCUACUCUAAGCGAGUCCACAGUCGGGGUCACUUUCUUUGCUUAGCACCUCGACUUCGCGCAGUUUUCAUCGAAGACAGUUCAUUACGCAUUGGCUAGAGAUUUACUACAUCCGUCCUUGGAAGAGGAAAAGAAAAAACAUAAAAAGAAACGCCUAGUACAAAGUCCAAAUUCUUACUUUAUGGAUGUAAAAUGUCCAGGUUGCUACAAGAUCACCACGGUUUUCAGCCAUGCUCAGACAGUGGUUCUUUGUGUAGGUUGUUCAACAGUGUUGUGCCAGCCUACAGGAGGAAAGGCCAGACUCACAGAAGGGUGUUCAUUUAGAAGAAAGCAACACUAAUGAUUCAAACAGCUUCCUGAAUUUUAAUUUUGUGUUGUCUCACAGAAAGCCUUAUCAUAAAUUCCAUAAUUCUAAUUAAUUUACCAAGAUAAUGUAAUUACAUUUGGUUUUGUAAGGUAUACAGCAGUAAUCUCCUAUUUUGGUGUCAGUUUUUCAAUAAAGUUUUGAUUAUGGGCAAA
rnacentral:lncRNA from 1 species